UCCCAUAUGAAUUGUUAAAUGUUAAAUGACAUUUAUAAAACUAAUUAAAUUGUUAUUGUAUUAUUAGUGACAAUGUAUAAAAGUUAAUGUGUAACACGUUUCAAGUUUUUAUUGGAUAAUCCAUGGUUCUGCAGGAGUUUUGGUUGUAAGAAUUUAGCGGAUAACAUUUUUGAGAUUGUAGAAAGUUAAGCUUGAAUAAAUAAGUCGCGUUGCAGUUGAUUCUUGUAUUUUUGGAAAGUUAGGAUUUUUCGAUGGAUAGAUGUUCAAGAUGUAAGGGACAGCAUUCUCAAGAAAGUUGCAAAACGAAUUUCAAAAAUUUAUUGUAAAAUAAAUUUUUAUUCACCCUAAACUAAAGAGGCAAAGGAAUUUAUUACUAUUUCUUGACGACACAACUAUCAAGCUCUUCUUUUUUCUACACUUAUAUAGCAGCGUGUAAUUUCUCUAAAAAUCCAUAUUUUAUUUAAUUACUUUAUUUAGAAUUUAAUUACCUCUUAC